GGAGCAUGUGGUUUAAUUCGAUGAUACGCGAGGAACCUUACCAGGGCUUAAAUGCAGUCUGACGUAUCUGGAAACAGAUAUUUCUUCGGACAGAUUGCAAGGUGCUGCAUGGUUGUCGUCAGCUCGUGCCGUGAGGUGUCAGGUUAAGUCCUAUAACGAGCGCAACCCCUGUGGUUAGUUGCCAGCGAGUAAUGUCGGGAA
rnacentral:rRNA from 13 species